GGAGAGGUGGCAGAGUGGUCGAAUGUACCUGACUCGAAAUCAGGCGUACGUGAUAAGCGUACCGUGGGUUCGAAUCCCACCCUCUCCG
rnacentral:tRNA from 1 species